rnacentral:lncRNA from 1 species
CUUGUAAGUAUAGCACAAACAUAUUUCCAUCAAAAUUAUAAAUUAAUUAAUGAGAGUAAAAACAGUAUAUGAAGGAUCCAAACAUGCCUAUACAUCUUUUGGAGAGCUGAAUCCACUCUGCCAAGGUCCCAUGAUCAGUGUACACUCAAAGAUAUUCAAGAAGAAGGUGGGAUUUUUUAAUAUUAUGGAGGCUUCUGAACUUCCCUUACUAGUGUAUGAUCAUUCAGCUGCAACAAACCUCUUAUCCUGACAGACUGGAUUCUUCUAUUUACUGUUUGCUACUAUUCUGAAGAUGCUUCCCCAUGAUUCACUUUUAUUCCCUAGGACAUGGU